UUCAUCUGUAUAUCCUGAAAUUUCGUAUCAUAUAAGCUUUGUUUUCUUUACUGUAUAUCAAUGUUAGUUGAUAAGAAUUGCGUGAGAACGUCGAGUGUAACCUUUUACACUGAAAACCCGUAUCAUUUCCUUCGAUAACAAGGCAUUGAAAUUUAAUAAAUAAAACAUUAGCAUAAUCAAUUGUAGUCUUUUUUUUUGCUAAAUACAAUUUUAGCUACUUUCAUUUUUCCUCAAUCAUUAAUAUUAAAUCGUAAGAAGUAACUGAUAAAAUGUUUCCUUUAUUCUAUCAACGUAAGUUGAUUAUUGAAUUCAAUAAUUACCAGUAUCAUUACUUUAAUGACAACUAAGUAAAUUAUUGACGUUUUUGUUAUCAGUUUCCUAUUAAACUAGCGGUAUGUCAUGCAAUUUACUUAAACCCCGUUAUAACUCAUUCCCUGCAGCACGAAAGCCUAAAAAAUUUUCUAGUGCCAGAGUCAAAGUCAAAUAUUUCCAUAAGCAAUUAACAUCUUUUUUUGUACAUUUAUCCAUUCAUGCAAUCGUGUGUUAAAAUGUUUAAAAUUCAAGAAUUAAAAACAAAGACGGUACUUCUAUUUAUCAUUUUGAUCGUACUCGUCAUUUACUGCAAUGCGCAUCCGCAACCACAAACUUCGAACGACAUUCACAAAAAUGACAAUAUUGAACAAAAGGUUGAAGGCGAAACUGAUAAAAAUCCUGAAAAUACAAAUCUAGUUCAAAAAUUGACGUCGACGGAAGAAUUACCGCUUUUGGUUUCGUUAAUGCAACACCUAGUUCCAAAAGUUCACUUCACUAUUAUCACUAUUUUCUACAAUUUUUUUGUCAAAGUUUUCAAGCAUAUACGCGAUGCACAUAAUGAUGAAUAGCCUAUUAAAGUAGUUGACUGAUUAGUUGACUAAAACAAUUCUAAUUCAUAUUUCGUUGACAAGAUU